rnacentral:lncRNA from 1 species
UUGUCAUAGGUUGAUAAAAAUACCCCUCUCUGAUCCUGCAGGCAACUUUUUCUGCCAAUUUUCUUUCCAGGGAGGAAGAGAAGAGGAAAUAUAAUUGAAAGAACACUGCCGCAUAGAAAAUGACACUGACGGAGGAAUGCACUUUGGAACGAUGGCUCCGACGGUUCCCUCGUAUGGAUUUUUACCCUAGUGGAGCUUGUAGUUCUCGUAACAGAAAUCAAAGACUGUAAGUGUAUCCUGCCUGGACUGCUCAUAUUGCUGGUGACAAGUGAUGCUAAAGUGACUGCACUGUCAGCUACUGGAAGCCUCGGGCGACGUGCAGCAGGGCUACAUACAGGGCUGGUUGCCUUAACUUCUUUUGACAUUUCUUCUCUCUGA